CAUGGCGACAAUGGAAGAAACGCCCAACGUCUGCGCUACCGGGAUACAGACGGGGAGUCGCCCCGCCCCCUGCCGCGCUAGCCCCGCCCCCUCCGUUACAGUGAUGAAGUGAUAGUAGUCGUGUCACACUGCGUCACUAACAUCUUGUCACGAUCCGGGUAUCUGGACGCCAUUUCUUACCUAUCAGAUGCCUUCUAAGGCUGGCUCAGCGCUCCAGGACCGGAUCCCAUCUGUCAUCCUGAUGUGCACAUUCCCGCAUCCUCUCCUGUCUCUCUGGACGCAGUCACAGUAACGCCUUAUACAUCUGGCAUGGCGUCUCCCGCGGCCUCCGCCGCCGUCCCUGAGCUUCUGCAUUCAGAGUGGCGAUUACGUCAGCCGCGGCCUCCGCUGUGUCCGCGUGGUCGGAUGUGCAUCUGUCAGCCUGACAUCUCCUGUCUCCGGUGGCCGGCGCCGCCAUUACUGUUUUCCAGACCACAUGGAUUACAAUCCAAACUUCCCUCCAAGUGUCUGCAUGGGCGCAGCCAUCUUGGAUUCUGUCAGCUGAUCUUUCCUACCAAUCCGUUGUUCCAGCUCCUGUCUCCAGACUUCUGCUAUAGAGACCAGCACCAGCAUUCCAUCUGCGGUGUAGCCUGACUCUCCGAUCCAUUCUGGACUCACCUGUUUCCAGCUACAACAUCACCUGCUUCCAGCUCAGCUUCCAGCAGUGUACAGCUUCUC